rnacentral:rRNA from 1 species
AGCUUUAAGUUUGAUUCUUGCUUAUAAUUUUUAUAUUAUGAUUAAAAAAUACAUGAAAAUUAUAGUGUUCCUUUAUAUUAAAAAUUAAAAAUUAUAUAUAAUAUAAGUCUCAGUAUUUAAUUUUAAAUAUUAAUUAAAAUUAGAAUUGGUAAUCAUUUUAAUCCUGACUAAAAUUUGUGCCAGCAGUCGCGGUUAUACUUAAGGGGUAAAUAAAUACAAUUUGGUAUUAUAGUAAAUUAUUAGUUAAAUAAAAUUUAUUAUUUUUUUUAAAGGGUGAAAUCGGAGUUUAAUUAUAAUAAUAAUUUUAAAACCAAAACAAAAAUAGACUAUAAAUUUUAAUAUAUAAACUAGGAUUAGAUACCCCC